GACGAACGCUGGCGGCGUGCUUAACACAUGCAAGUCGAACGGAAAGGCCCUGCUUUUGUGGGGUGCUCGAGUGGCGAACGGGUGAGUAACACGUGAGUAACCUGCCCUUGACUUUGGGAUAACUUCAGGAAACUGGGGCUAAUACCGGAUAGGAGCUCCUGCUGCAUGGUGGGGGUUGGAAUGUUUCGGCGGUUGGGGAUGGACUCGCGGCUUAUCAGCUUGUUGGUGGGGUAGUGGCUUACCAAGGCUUUGACGGGUAGCCGGCCUGAGAGGGUAACCGGCCACAUUGGGACUGAGGUACGGCCCAGACGCCAACGUGAGGCAGCAGUGGGAAAUAUUACACAAUGGGCGGACGCCUGAUACAGCAACGCCGCGUGCGGAAUGACGGCCUUCGGGUGAUGAACCGCUUUCGCCUGUGACGAAGCGUGAGUGACGGUAAUGGGUAAAGAAGCUCCGGCUAACUACGUG
rnacentral:rRNA from 1 species